GCUGGGUGUGGUGGUGCAUGCCUGUUAUCCCAGAUUCUUGGGAGGCAAAGGCAGGAGGAUCACGAGUUUGAAGCCAGCCUCAGCAAUUUAGCAAGGCCCUAAGCAACUUAAUGAGACCUUGUUUCAA
rnacentral:sRNA from 1 species